GGAACCUCCAGCAUCCUCCUCAUGCAGUGACAGGAGCAGCAGAAGACUCACGCCUCUGCAACGAUCCCCGGCAGGAGGAUGAGGAUCUGCUGACAGUGAGGAGCCAAUGAUGUCUGGAUGUCAGACUCUGCAGAGAAGAUGGAGCUGGAGGAAGACCUGGUCUCUGGACCAGAGGAAGAAGAAAAGAUAACAGAGAAGAUAUCACUCAAGUCAGAAGACGUCACUCGGGUCACUGAUAUCAUUGUGUAUUCUCCUGACUGUCCCAUCAGAAAUGUAGUCACUUAUUCAAGAUAGAGAGGAUUCGAUGGAUUGUGAAGAAACACGCCACCCGUUCUGUGCCUAUUCAUACCUUCUCAUGUGUCUUGUGCUGUUCUCUGUCUAUCCAUAUCUUUUUAUGUUUUUGUUACAGUA